CAUGAAUGGUGAUUCUCUUUCUUCUAUUCAUGAGCUAAUAAAUAAUAGGGGUAUUCACUUAAAGCUGCGUAUAAUGCGUAUAUGCGUAACAUUUGUAAAGAAAUAUUUCAAAUUGAAAAGUUUCUCUUCGGAUUGUAAUGUCAUGUCAUAUGAGCAAAUUAUGAUCUAGUUGUCCGCUGUAAACGUGAACUUCAAAAUUUUGCUGUUCCAGCUAAAUGGAUUGUUUUAUGGGUUUCAGGAGCAGCAAUAAACGAUGUAAAAUAAGGCUUGGUUGAUGUUCGAUAUGACUCCUUCCAACGGGAUGUGCAAAGCUGGUUCCAGAUCAUAUCUAUCAUUUUUAAUCUGAGAUGAAAUGUAAAAAUGUCUACCUCUCACUCCCAGUCGUCGCUCAUAAGGUUUAAAAUAAAAACAGGUUCAUCUUGUUAACAAAUCAUAUGUGAUUUAAA